UACGUAGGGGGCAAGCGUUAUCCGGAUUUACUGGGUGUAAAGGGAGCGUAGACGGCCAGACAAGUCUGAAGUGAAAAUCCAGCGCUUAACGUUGGAAGUGCUUUGGAAACUGCCGGGCUAGAGUGCAGGAGGGGCAGGCGGAAUUCCUAGUGUAGCGGUGAAAUGCGUAGAUAUUAGGAGGAACACCAGUGGCGAAGGCGGCUUACUGGACGAUCACUGACGCUGAGGCUCGAAAGCGUGGGGAGCAAACAGG
rnacentral:rRNA from 1 species